AUACGGAGGGUGCAAGCGUUACUCGGAAUCAUUGGGCGUAAAGCGCGCGCAGGCGGCUUGAUAAGUUGGAUGUGAAAGCCUACGGCUCAACCGUAGAACUGCAUCCAAAACUGUCAAGCUAGAGUCUGGGAGGGGAAGAUGGAAUUAGUUGUGUAGGGGUAAAAUCCGUAGAGAUAACUAGGAAUACCAAAAGCGAAGGCGAUCUUCUGGAACACUACUGACGCUGAGGCGCGAAGGCGUGGGGAGCAAACAGGAUUAGAAACCCGGGUAGUCC
rnacentral:rRNA from 1 species